GUCCUGAUGUGUGCAGGAUUUGUGAAGGGUCUACAUAAGCUUUGUACACUGAGGAGUAACACCCCAUGGUGGUCACAGCUGGACAUCAUAAACUACUCAGCCUUCCUUGACAAUGUGGACGAGCCUGGAUUUCAUCCAGAGGGUAAUGACUCCUUCACCUGAGAUGGACAAAAUGGAUCAGGAGACUCGAUUCCAGAAAGAAGCCUCCAUUUGAGUCCUCAGUUCAAUGUGCUUGACAGUGACAACCCAAGGUGUGGCUCAGUGUGUGUUACCUAGCACUGUCCCCUGAGAGAAAUCCUGUCCCGUCUACUGGCUCUUCAUUCAGCCUUCACCUCAUCAUGACAGUGUCUCCUACGGCC